AUUGAACGCUGGCGGCAGGCCUAACACAUGCAAGUCGAACGAGUGGCGGACGGGUGAGUAGUGUCUGGGAAACUGCCCGACGGAGGCGGAUAACUACAGGAAACGGUCGCUAAUACCUCAUACCAUUGGAUGUGCCCAGAAGGGAUUAGCGAGUAGGUGUGGUAACGGCUCACCUAGGCGACGAUCCCUAGCUGGUCUGAGAGGAUGACCAGCCACACUGGAACUGAGACACGUUCCAGACUCCUACGGGAGUCAGCAGUGGGGAAUAUUGCACAAGGGGCGCGAGCCUUAUGCAGCCAGGCCGCGUGUAUGAAGAAGGCCUUCGGGUUGUAAAGGACUUUCAGCGAGGAGGCGUUACUCGCAGAAGAAGCACCGGCGAACUCCGUGCCAGCAGCCGGGGUAAUUC
rnacentral:rRNA from 1 species